GUCACCGGCAUCGAGCUACUACCAACAAUGGCGUCAAAACAGAAGGGUUUACCUUGUAGAUGGCUGACCGUCACCUGUCCGAAAGGCAAUACACUUUUUGCAGGUGGUGACGCCUGAAAGCCAGAACGGCGACAGGUCAGCUGCACAUUGUUGUGAGCAAGGGAACCGUUACUCAACCUUUAAAAUGCCCCAAAUAACCGCUUCCAGUAUGACCGGAAGAUAUGAGAGCAGAGCGGCGGUAUGUUAACUAAUUUUGGUUUGGUUACAGCCACAUAUUACAAGCCCAAUGUGCCUCUUAAGUGUAGCUUGGGAUUUUUAAAACCGCUCAAAUUGUGAAAUUGACUUGACUUUAUUUUCCCAACCAAGAGGUUCCCAAUGUCCUAAAUACAUCCCUGAAAGUUGGCCUUUUAGCCUGCCUUUUUCCAUGCUCCAACAAAGUACACAAUGAAGACAUAUAACUUGAGGAAAGUUAUAAAAUCUUACAUUAGAGGACUAGUGGGAAACUAUUGUGAUUGUAAACUCACAUUAUACUUUGUUUACCUUUUGCAGGAAACGUUCAGCGUUGGAUAAAAAUAGCCACCUUUAGGAGGUUUGUCUGGUAACUAUGAGUGAAAGAGUGGUGGGUGUUGUAGAGCUCCUCUUAAACGUCUGCUAAUGGAUCUUGUUUUCUUUUUCAUCUCCUAGAAUCGGUGGGGAGCCAGAUGGGCGGCCGGUGAGGAGGGCAGAGCUCGAGGCAAGGAACAGAGCCUGCCCUCCUCACCUCCGGAGCUGUUAUCCUGCUGAGCUAGACGUUAGUAACGAGGAACACCGCAGCCCGGGUUCGAAUCCGACCCCGUGGCCCUUUGCUGCAUGUUGUCCCUCCUCUCUCUCUCUCUCCCUUUCCUAUCUUCUAGCUAUUCUGUUGAAUUUUAAAGGCCAUAAAAAGCCCAAUAAAUGAACUAGUUGACCACUUGAGUAGCAAAUGCACUGUAUUGAUUUAGUGCUUUUAUCCAAAGCACUUCACAAUUUGGCUCUUAUUCACCACUAUUCCCCACAC